CAAAUUUGGCAAGUUGCCAACUAAAAUAAUACAAGUCAAAAGCUGAAAAUAAAUCAGCUAUUACAUCCAUCAUUUUCAUAUCUUACUAACUCUAGAAAUCAAGUUACAUGUCAACUUGAUUGCUUUACAAAAAAAUCAAAAUAAACAAAAUGAAACAAGCAGCUCCUGUUCGAUUCUAAAGCUGGUCUGCUGCUGCUGGUGAGCUUUAUGGGUACCUGUUGCAUUGCAGUCCAUGCUUAACAGGAUAUAGUUAGAUUUUGUCAAAAUUUUCAAUAUAUUUGAAGGACCAUUAGAGUUCAUACCCUCAUAUUCAUGUAUCGGACAUAGUUGUUG
rnacentral:lncRNA from 1 species